UACGUAGGGUGCGAGCGUUGUCCGGAAUUAUUGGGCGUGAAGAGCUUGUAGGCGGUUUGUCGCGUCUGCCGUGAAAUUUCGGGGCUCAACCCCGAACUUGCGGUGGGUACGGGCAGACUAGAGUGUGGUAGGGGAGACUGGAAUUCCUGGUGUAGCGGUGAAAUGCGCAGAUAUCAGGAGGAACACCGAUGGCGAAGGCAGGUCUCUGGGCCACUACUGACGCUGAGAAGCGAAAGCAUGGGGAGCGAACAGG
rnacentral:rRNA from 1 species